rnacentral:rRNA from 1 species
ACAUGCAAGUCGAACGAACGGAGGAAGAGCUUGCUCUUCCAAAGUUAGUGGCGGACGGGUGAGUAACACGUGGGCAACCUGCCUGUAAGUUGGGGAUAACUCCGGGAAACCGGGGCUAAUACCGAAUAAUAAGUGGUGGCGCAUGCCACGGCUUUGAAAGAUGGUUUCGGCUAUCGCUUACAGAUGGGCCCGCGGUGCAUUAGCUAGUUGGUAGGGUAAUGGCCUACCAAGGCAACGAUGCAUAGCCGACCUGAGAGGGUGAUCGGCCACACUGGGACUGAGACACGGCCCAGACUCCUACGGGAGGCAGCAGUAGGGAAUCUUCCGCAAUGGACGAAAGUCUGACGGAGCAACGCCGCGUGUAUGAAGAAGGUUUUCGGAUCGUAAAGUACUGUUGUUAGAGAAGAACAAGGAUAAGAGUAACUGCUUGUCCCUUGACGGUAUCUAACCA